GGGUUGUGAGGUUAAGCGACUAAGCGUACACGGUGGAUGCCCUGGCAGUCAGAGGCGAUGAAGGACGUGCUAAUCUGCGAUAAGCGUCGGUAAGGUGAUAUGAACCGUUAUAACCGGCGAUUUCCGAAUGGGGAAACCCAGUGUGAUUCGUCACACUAUCAUUAACUGAAUCCAUAGGUUAAUGAGGCGAACCGGGGGAACUGAAACAUCUAAGUACCCCGAGGAAAAGAAAUCAACCGAGAUUCCCCCAGUAGCGGCGAGCGAACGGGGAGGAGCCCAGAGCCUGAAUCAGUGUGUGUGUUAGUGGAAGCGUCUGGAAAGGCGCGCGAUACAGGGUGACAGCCCCGUACACAAAAAUGCACAUGCUGUGAGCUCGAUGAGUAGGGCGGGACACGUGGUAUCCUGUCUGAAUAUGGGGGGACCAUCCUCCAAGGCUAAAUACUCCUGACUGACCGAUAGUGAACCAGUACCGUGAGGGAAAGGCGAAAAGAACCCCGGCGAGGGGAGUGAAAAAGAACCUGAAACCGUGUACGUACAAGCAGUGGGAGCACAGAGCAAUCUGUGUGACUGCGUACCUUUUGUAUAAUGGGUCAGCGACUUAUAUUCUGUAGCAAGGUUAACCGAAUAGGGGAGCCGAAGGGAAACCGAGUCUUAACUGGGCGUUAAGUUGCAGGGUAUAGACCCGAAACCCGGUGAUCUAGCCAUGGGCAGGUUGAAGGUUGGGUAACACUAACUGGAGGACCGAACCGACUAAUGUUGAAAAAUUAGCGGAUGACUUGUGGCUGGGGGUGAAAGGCCAAUCAAACCGGGAGAUAGCUGGUUCUCCCCGAAAGCUAUUUAGGUAGCGCCUCGUGAAUUCAUCUCCGGGGGUAGAGCACUGUUUCGGCAAGGGGGUCAUCCCGACUUACCAACCCGAUGCAAACUGCGAAUACCGGAGAAUGUUAUCACGGGAGACACACGGCGGGUGCUAACGUCCGUCGUGAAGAGGGAAACAACCCAGACCGCCAGCUAAGGUCCCAAAGUCAUGGUUAAGUGGGAAACGAUGUGGGAAGGCCCAGACAGCCAGGAUGUUGGCUUAGAAGCAGCCAUCAUUUAAAGAAAGCGUAAUAGCUCACUGGUCGAGUCGGCCUGCGCGGAAGAUGUAACGGGGCUAAACCAUGCACCGAAGCUGCGGCAGCGACGCUUAUGCGUUGUUGGGUAGGGGAGCGUUCUGUAAGCCUGCGAAGGUGUGCUGUGAGGCAUGCUGGAGGUAUCAGAAGUGCGAAUGCUGACAUAAGUAACGAUAAAGCGGGUGAAAAGCCCGCUCGCCGGAAGACCAAGGGUUCCUGUCCAACGUUAAUCGGGGCAGGGUGAGUCGACCCCUAAGGCGAGGCCGAAAGGCGUAGUCGAUGGGAAACAGGUUAAUAUUCCUGUACUUGGUGUUACUGCGAAGGGGGGACGGAGAAGGCUAUGUUGGCCGGGCGACGGUUGUCCCGGUUUAAGCGUGUAGGCUGGUUUUCCAGGCAAAUCCGGAAAAUCAAGGCUGAGGCGUGAUGACGAGGCACUACGGUGCUGAAGCAACAAAUGCCCUGCUUCCAGGAAAAGCCUCUAAGCAUCAGGUAACAUCAAAUCGUACCCCAAACCGACACAGGUGGUCAGGUAGAGAAUACCAAGGCGCUUGAGAGAACUCGGGUGAAGGAACUAGGCAAAAUGGUGCCGUAACUUCGGGAGAAGGCACGCUGAUAUGUAGGUGAAGUCCCUCGCGGAUGGAGCUGAAAUCAGUCGAAGAUACCAGCUGGCUGCAACUGUUUAUUAAAAACACAGCACUGUGCAAACACGAAAGUGGACGUAUACGGUGUGACGCCUGCCCGGUGCCGGAAGGUUAAUUGAUGGGGUUAGCGCAAGCGAAGCUCUUGAUCGAAGCCCCGGUAAACGGCGGCCGUAACUAUAACGGUCCUAAGGUAGCGAAAUUCCUUGUCGGGUAAGUUCCGACCUGCACGAAUGGCGUAAUGAUGGCCAGGCUGUCUCCACCCGAGACUCAGUGAAAUUGAACUCGCUGUGAAGAUGCAGUGUACCCGCGGCAAGACGGAAAGACCCCGUGAACCUUUACUAUAGCUUGACACUGAACAUUGAGCCUUGAUGUGUAGGAUAGGUGGGAGG
rnacentral:rRNA from 1 species